UCUGACGUUGGGCUCCGACACCGAGCCUGUGGGCCUCUGUCUGCCGGACUGACACUUAGGUGAAAGACCGUCGAUCGAGUAUCCUCAUGGGUGAAAGUGGACUCCCGACCCCCCACCUCCACCUACAGGUUGCGGAGUCCCGGCUGAGCGGAGAAGCAGGUUUGAGGAGGAGGAGAAAACAGGAGGUGAAAGAGAGGUUCUAGGUGCAGGAAUGUGUGGACUGCAGGUGGGCAGGUCGGUGAUGUGCCGCUGAGAGGUCUGCCAGCUGCCAUAUCGCACAGAUCUGGGGUUCAUGACACGGGCAGAGGGGAGAGGUGUUGACGAGUGUAGAUCACACUCCUGCGCUCCCAGACUGUGUCCACACCGAGCUGGCUGAAUCUGAAAAUACUUUUUCUCUCUUUUUGGCCGUCCAUCAACACUAAGCCAUUGGGUUUUUUUUUUUUUUUUUGCAGACUCAAAAUCUGCUAUUCACAGUGGAUAAAUCUAAAAAGGGUUGCCUUGAAUUUUAGUGUGGAGGAGGAAAACAAUUUAUUAAAAAAAAAAAAGAGCAUGUAAUGCUGGUUUAUAACUUUUUUUUUUUUAGUAAAGUUAACUCUAAUCCUUUAUGUGAUCCAUGAUUUUAAAAAUCAAUAUAGCCAUGGGCAAACUAGAACUGCUGUGAGAUGUGGUUGAAAGCUCCAUAAAAAGUGGACCUUAAGGUAAGAAUUCUUUUUCAAACUGUAUUUACAUGGCUGAUUAUGAUUUAUGUUUAUUUUGUUUGUGUACUCCAUUUGAUUGGCUUUGCACUGCAGCUGUGCACAAAUUACUGUUGCAUGUGUGAUUAGCAGAUAGCAUUGACGGCCUGUGUUUGUUUUUUUUGUUUAAUACUUGUUCAGUUGUCGCUCAACAGAAAAAAGAAAAAAUGUGUUUAAGAGAACAACUGAAUUAUGAGUUCAUGUUGGUGCACAGUUUUGUAGUUUUGUUUCAGUGUGAAUGGACGAC